UACGUAGGGGGCAAGCGUUGUCCGGAUUUACUGGGCGUAAAGCGCGCGUAGGCGGAAGCUUAAGUGUGGCCUGAAAGCCCCCGGCUCAACCGGGGAAGGUGGCUGCAAACUGGGCUUCUUGAGGGCGAUAGAGGAGAGCGGAAUUCCUGGUGUAGCGGUGAAAUGCGUAGAUAUCAGGAGGAACACCGGUGGCGAAGGCGGCUCUCUGGGUCGGCCUUGACGCUGAGGCGCGAAAGCGUGGGGAGCGAACGGGA
rnacentral:rRNA from 1 species